AUGCUGUGCUCUGGAACCUGCCCACUCACAUCUAUCUAAGGAAAGCAUAGAGAACUGUUAGAUGAUCUUGCAGUAGAGUAGAUGCUGCAUAUGGGCUUUAUUUAGAAUUUCAUGUGCAGGAGUUCAUCCUGGCCACAUCUAAGGGCAUAAACAACCAGUGGAAAAAAACUUUGCAGUUCAAACCUCACCUCUUAUAGAAAGCCUUUUCUAAAAGCCCUAGACUGGCCUAUAUGCCCUUUCUCUGGACUCCAUAGCACACUCUCUCUUGUUUUUAGGCUUGUACUGAUCGUGUUGCCUUAUGUUUACUUUUCUAUGCCUUUCCAGGGAGUGUAUGAGCUCCUUCUUUAGAAACAGACUAUUCUUAUUUUUCAUGGUGCUGAACAUAUAGAAGGUACAGGAUAAAUACUUGCUAAUGUUCUUGUGAUGUGAAAAGAUACCACUGUGCUCCACCUGCUUAGUGGUGUAAAAAAUAGCUAUGGCUAUGAUGAUUGCCGUGAUUUAGAAAGCACAUUGUUUUCUAAACAUCAGUGUUUCUAAAAUUCGGAUUUGUUAACCACUGAGCCACAAAGGGAACUCCCGGAAGGUGUUCAAUGAUGGUAUCAGAAACCAUUGUGGGGGGACAUGGCCAUGCACAGGGUGCUGGAGCCGGAGCAGAGUGAAGAGGACAUCCACAUGCUGGAAUCAACAGUUCUUAGGUCAAACCAGGGAGCACUAGGCCCCCUGUAGGCCCUUCCUUACCAGGUAGGUCGCCUAAUUCCUAGCCCUGUGCAAUACAGCACAAGGUAUGUAGUCUAACUGGAGUGGGGAUGGUGUCCUCAGGGGCAGCUCAGGGAGGUGUGUCAGAGCCCAGGCAGGGAAAAGAGGCCAUGUGCAAGGGGACAGAGUGGGCAAUAGUGAUGCAAGACUGUUGACAUUCCUGGGGCUUAAACAAAUAAGUGGACAGAUUGAAGAUAAUGUGAGCCAUGCUUGUUGCUUUUUGAAAAGGAAGUUACAAGUAUGGAAAGAGAGAAAACUGAAAUGAACCUGUGGCACAGAACUGAACUGAAGAUAGCAGCAUGAUCUUAUGAUGUCCAGUGAAUGCGUAGAUAUAAAUGUAGGUGUCAUCGUGAGUUUGUAUGUGGUGUGUCUCUAUCUUAAUCUUUAUCUUUGUACCUAUUUAUUCUCUUGUUCUAUUCAUCAAGGGACCAAAGGCAGCAACAAACUCAAUAUAAGUGAACACACUGAACACACCUAUCAAGAC
rnacentral:lncRNA from 1 species